GGUCAAGCGAACAAGUGCAUGUGGUGGAUGCCUUGGCGAUCACAGGCGAUGAAGGACGCGGUAGCCUGCGAAAAGCGGAGGGGAGCUGGCAAACGAGCUUUGAUCCUCCGAUAUCCGAAUGGGGAAACCCGGCCCGUAUGGGUCAUCCGUAACUGAAUACAUAGGUUACGUGAAGCGAACGCGGUGAACUGAAACAUCUAAGUAACCGCAGGAAAAGAAAUCAACCGAGAUUCCCAGAGUAGUGGCGAGCGAAAUGGGACCAGCCUGUACUCUUUAUCUUCAUUGUUAGUCGAAGGCUCUGGAAAGUGCCGCCAUAGCAGGUGAUAGCCCUGUAGACGAAAACAGCGGGGAAGAACUAGGUGUACGGAAAGUAGGGCGGGACACGUGAAAUCCUGUCUGAAGAUGGGGGGACCAUCCUCCAAGGCUAAAUACUCGUGAUCGACCGAUAGUGAACCAGUACCGUGAGGGAAAGGCGAAAAGAACCCCGGGAGGGGAGUGAAACAGAUCCUGAAACCGCAUGCAUACAAACAGUCGGAGCCUCGCAAGGGGUGACGGCGUACCUUUUGUAUAAUGGGUCAGCGACUUACAUUCAGUGGCAAGCUUAACCGAUUAGGGCAGGCGUAGCGAAAGCGAGUCCGAACAGGGCGAUUCAGUCGCUGGGUGUAGACCCGAAACCAGGUGAUCUAUCCAUGGCCAGGAUGAAGGUGCGGUAACACGUACUGGAGGUCCGAACCCACUAACGUUGAAAAGUUAGGGGAUGAGCUGUGGAUAGGGGUGAAAGGCUAAACAAACCUGGAAAUAGCUGGUUCUCUCCGAAAACUAUUUAGGUAGUGCCUCGUGUAUCACCUUCGGGGGUAGAGCACUGUCAUGGUUGUGGGGUCCAUUGCGGAUUACUACGCCAUAGCAAACUCCGAAUACCGAAGAGUGCAAUCACGGGAGACAGACAUCGGGUGCUAACGUCCGGUGUCAAGAGGGAAACAACCCAGACCGCCAGCUAAGGUCCCCAAAUAUUGCUAAGUGGGAAACGAAGUGGGAAGGCUAAAACAGUCAGGAGGUUGGCUUAGAAGCAGCCAUCCUUUAAAGAAAGCGUAAUAGCUCACUGAUCGAGUCGUCCUGCGCGGAAGAUGUAACGGGGCUAAGCAAUAUACCGAAGCUGCGGAUGCACAUUUAUGUGCAUGGUAGGAGAGCGUUCCGUAAGCCUGCGAAGGUGCAUUGAAAAGUGUGCUGGAGGUAUCGGAAGUGCGAAUGCUGACAUGAGUAGCGAUAAAGGGGGUGAAAGGCCCCCUCGCCGUAAGCCCAAGGUUUCCUACGCAACGUUCAUCGGCGUAGGGUGAGUCGGCCCCUAAGGCGAGGCAGAAAUGCGUAGCUGAUGGGAAGCAGGUUAAUAUUCCUGCACCAUUGUUAAAUGCGAUGGGGGGACGGAUCGCGGAAGGUUGUCCGGGUGUUGGAAGUCCCGGUCCUUGCAUUGGAGAAGGCGCUUAGGCAAAUCCGGGCGCGGAAUUCAAGGGUGCGAGGCCAUUCACUUAGGUGAAGAAGCAAUCGGAAGUGGUUCCAAGAAAAGCCUCUAAGCUUCAGUUUAACAGGACCGUACCGCAAACCGACACAGGUGGGCGAGAUGAGUAUUCUAAGGCGCUUGAGAGAACUCGGGAGAAGGAACUCGGCAAAUUGGUACCGUAACUUCGGGAUAAGGUACGCCCCUGUAGCUUGAUGCCCCUGCGGGCAGAGGGUGAAGGGGUUGCAAUAAACUGGUGGCUGCGACUGUUUAAUAAAAACACAGCACUCUGCAAACACGAAAGUGGACGUAUAGGGUGUGACGCCUGCCCGGUGCCGGAAGAUUAAAUGAUGGGGUGCAAGCUCUUGAUUGAAGUCCCGGUAAACGGCGGCCGUAACUAUAACGGUCCUAAGGUAGCGAAAUUCCUUGUCGGGUAAGUUCCGACCUGCACGAAUGGCGUAACGAUGGCCACACUGUCUCCUCCCGAGACUCAGCGAAGUUGAAGUGUUUGUGAUGAUGCAAUCUCCCCGCGGCUAGACGGAAAGACCCCAUGAACCUUUACUGUAGCUUUGCAUUGGACUUUGAACCGAUCUGUGUAGGAUAGGUGGGAGGCUAUGAAGCGUGGACGCCAGUCUGCGUGGAGCCGUCCUUGAAAUACCACCCUGGUUUGUUUGAGGUUCUAACCUUGGUCCGUAAUCCGGAUCGGGGACAGUGCAUGGUAGGCAGUUUGACUGGGGCGGUCUCCUCCCAAAGUGUAACGGAGGAGUACGAAGGUACGCUAGGUACGGUCGGAAAUCGUGCUGAUAGUGCAAUGGCAUAAGCGUGCUUAACUGCGAGACCGACAAGUCGAGCAGGUGCGAAAGCAGGUCAUAGUGAUCCGGUGGUUCUGUAUGGAAGGGCCAUCGCUCAACGGAUAAAAGGUACUCUGGGGAUAACAGGCUGAUACCGCCCAAGAGUUCAUAUCGACGGCGGUGUUUGGCACCUCGAUGUCGGCUCAUCUCAUCCUGGGGCUGUAGCCGGUCCCAAGGGUAUGGCUGUUCGCCAUUUAAAGAGGUACGUGAGCUGGGUUUAAAACGUCGUGAGACAGUUUGGUCCCUAUCUGCCGUGGGCGCUGGAUAUUUGAAGGGGGCUGCUCCUAGUACGAGAGGACCGGAGUGGACGAACCUCUGGUGUACCGGUUGUCACGCCAGUGGCAUCGCCGGGUAGCUAUGUUCGGAAGAGAUAACCGCUGAAAGCAUCUAAGCGGGAAACUCGCCUUAAGAUGAGAUAUCCCCGGGGCUUCGAGCCCCUUGAAGGGUCGUUCAAGACCAGGACGUUGAUAGGUCAGGUGUGGAAGCGCAGUAAUGCGUUAAGCUAACUGAUACUAAUUGCCCGUAAGGCUUGAUCCU
rfam:Burkholderia fungorum strain ATCC BAA-463 chromosome 1, complete sequence.